rnacentral:rRNA from 1 species
UACGUAGGGGGCGAGCGUUGUCCGGAUUUAUUGGGCGUAAAGAGCGCGUAGGCGGAGCGUUAAGUCUGGCCUGAAAGCCCCCGGCUCAACCGGGGAAGGUGGCUGGAAACUGGCGUUCUUGAGGGCGACAGAGGAGAGUGGAAUUCCUGGUGUAGCGGUGAAAUGCGUAGAUAUCAGGAGGAACACCCAUGGCGAAGGCAGCUCUCUGGGUCGGACCUGACGCUGAGGUGCGAAAGCGUGGGGAGCGAACGGG